AGAGUGCGUAUCGUUAAGCCCAGAACUGACUUCAAUCGCUGCGAAAAUGUCUACUAAAUUAUUGCAAAAUCCGACGGCAGAACACAAACAAAAGAUAACCAACAACACACAACAAAGACAACAGUAUUGAAACAGAGUUGAUUGUGCCCAUUUCAAUAUAAUCACAGGAAGAAAUUUUAUAUACUGCAGUGGUAUAGCAGAAAUUAGUUCGCAUCGCUUCUGCUCAGAACAGGCCGAACAUACAGCGUAACACGGCCUGAAAUUUGGGAACUUUUAAAAUUGGAAUGCGAUGCACAAUUUAUGCAGUGAUGGAAUAUUUUAACGCAAAUGAUUUCGCAAUGGAUUUAUACGACUAAUUGCAGACGGACGUACACCUUUGAUGGUAACUAUUAUAUUGUAAAUAAAACUACGUAUUGUCGUGGACCCAUUCCUUGCCAUUGGAGUGAGAAGUCGGACUGACGGGCGAUAGUCACUGGCAUUUGAGCACCGGCUUUUGGCUCCAAUC